UAUUGUUUUUUCUGCUUCACUGUCUUCCUUGCCCAUUUCUGUAGGUUUGGAAUGAGUAACACCUUAGCUUUGGAAUGAGUAACAAAAGAUGAAAAAGCAAAUACAGUCAAACCUCGGUUCCUGAACGCCUCUGUUUUGGAACAUUUUGGCUUCCAAACGCCAAAAACCCGGAAAUGACACAGCCUUAACAGCGCACUCCAAGGAAGCUCUACAGAGACUCAUCAACCAUUUUGCCCAAACCUCCAGCACUCCAUGCAACACAUGAUUGGGGUGGUAGAUGAUUAGGUCUACCUGGGCUCCACCAUAACCAGCAACCUUUCCAUCGAUGCUGAGCUGGACAGGCGUAUUGGCAAGUAAGAAAAUGGAAGUACCUACCUAACUGCAUCCAGGUACCAAUUCAAUCCAGGGAAAACUCAGGUGAUUGUUUACAUACAGUAUUUUAUAACGCCUGAAUACAGAUCAUGUAAUGAGACUAUCUACAUAUCUCAUACAGCAACCACAUCAGGUGCUAUAACCUUCCAGCAGUUCGACUUCACCCUCAAAGGUGCUCUCCAUUGUUUCUUGAUACAGAUGGAUGCCAACCAACAGAUUUCUUGAAAGAAACCAGCACUUGUUGAAAAAUUUAGUUGCUUGCAAAUUAUUUGAGAUUUGUUGAGCCUUAAGCUACCCAAGUAGAAAAAUUGCUGUCAGUCUCACAAGGUGGUUCUGGUGAGUCUCAGUGGAUGGGUUUUCAGGUUACUACUUGCACAUUUACUACUUAUAGUUUCCCAGGAAUAGGAAGAAGAUUCUGGCUGCAAGUAUUCCAUUUCCUGUGUCAACAGAAUACAAACUAGGCAUUUAAUUCCCUCAUUCCCAGUGUACAGAUGCCUGGAGUUCACUGUACCUUUCCUCACACUGAAUUGCACAGCUUAUGUUCAUAACCUUACUAAGCAAUAAGGAAUAGACAAGGUGAAGCAGAACAAUCGAGUGCCUUGUGACCCUCGACAGCAUGACUCCUGUCCCUUUUAAAUUUAUCCCACGGAUUUGAAAUGUCUUAACUUGUAAUACCAAUAAA